rnacentral:rRNA from 1 species
AAUUGAAGCAGAGGACAGUGGCGGACGGGUGAGUAACGCGUGAAGGAACCUGUCCUUUCAGGGGGGGACAACAGUUGGAAACGACUGCUAAUACCGCAUGACACAUUGGGGUCGCAUGGCCUUAAUGUCAAAGAUUUAUCGCUGAAAGAUGGCCUCGCGUCUGAUUAGCUAGUUGGUGAGGUAACGGCUCACCAAGGCGACGAUCAGUAGCCGGUCUGAGAGGAUGAACGGCCACAUUGGGACUGAGAUACGGCCCAGACUCC